rnacentral:lncRNA from 1 species
UAUAUUUCAUAUUUACAGGUUACACUAGACAGUGGCAGUGCCUUCAGAAGCACCUUUACUUUUUUACACAGGUGACACUUACUAGGGAUGUGUAACAGAAAACAGUGGUGUUUAGAGAAAAGGGAUGUGUAUAUUCAUGCAAUUGUAGUACACCUCAUGAACCAUUGUAAAAUCAAGUUAUGAAACUGCUAGGGACUAUUUGCAUAUUCUUUCUGACUUAACAAUUCUGGAACCUGACUGGAGGCAGUGUUUAUUCAUAAGUUACAAGAGUUGCCAAUCAGAUGGAGACCAUUUUAACCAUUAAGAAGAUCAUGAACAGAGAAAUUCACAAUGGAAAAUAACUGAGAGGCAAUGAGACCAGCACAUCAUCCUUCCGUCGCUGAACAGAAUCUGAUGUGCCAUUAAUCAGUUGCUGUGUUUUGGCAUUCCAUCAUUGGAAGGCUGGUGACAACUGUGGAGUUAGAGAAUGCAAGAACGUCCUCUACUGCCAAGGACCAACUGACACACACAGAAGCACAGAACAGGAAAGGCUGCAUGCACCAAAAGGGAGGAAGUUUAUAAAAAGUUUGUUGUUUUCACUCAUGCUGUGACCUAAGUAACAUCCUAGUUUAAACAUUAAACUCAAGGUCAUUAACUUGUCACAGUGAUUUAUGGUUUAAAACUUUAUAGUAAAAUAACAGUUAAGAAGACAUGAAAAGGCUCAUCAAUUGAUAUGAUAAAGCUUGCUGAUAUGUAACACUUUCCAUAUUUCAUAGGGAGAGAGUGAUUUUGUUAUAUUGUUGAAACUACAUGCAUUGUUUAAGCCGGUGACUGAUUCACAUGUCAUGCCUUAAAGAUGAGACUGUCAAAAAUGCUGGGUCCUACUUUUGUAUUUCCAAUAACAUUAAAUACAAG